AUCCGACGGCUGAAACAACAACCGCGUUUUACGAAGCAAACCCAUGAAUCCGUCAUCCUCAAAAUAAAGCCCCCCGCAGUCCCCAAACCCUCUCUCUCUAAACCCCCCAGAUUUGGAAACCCUUCUCUCUCUCUCUCUCUCUCUCUCUCUGCAACUCAUCCCCAACUCUCUCUCAGAUUCGUUACAGUAGUCUUUAGUUUCCAGAACAAAGAAAGCUUUCUCGUGUUUUGGAGGGACAGAGAUGCAAUCCAACGGCUCCGACUCCUCGCUGCAGCAACAGGAGCAAAAUACUACUCAGCCGCAGCCACGUCAGCAGCAGCCUCCUCCUCAUCCUCCGCAGUCGCAGCCGCCGCCACCGCAGUGGAUGGCGAUGCAGUACCCGGCGGCUGCAAUGGUAAUGCAGCACCAAAUGAUGCCACCGCAGCAUUACGCGCCUCCGCCGCCACACUACAUGGCGUACCACCAGUACCAGCAGCAGCCGCAGCAGCACCUCCAGCAGCAACAGCAGCCGCAGAUGGGAUCUGGCGGCGGCGGCGGCGGCGGUGGAAGCGGCGAGAACAAGACCAUCUGGGUCGGAGAUUUGCAUCACUGGAUGGACGAGAACUACCUCCAUAACUGCUUCGCUUCCGCUGGCGAGGUCUAAAUCUUCUCACUCUAUAUUUGUAUUUUGUACUUUGUAUUAUACGAAUAGGCAUACACUUUAAUGCGUCUGUGUACUGUGGAGAUGGUCUUUAUAUGAAAAGUGGAUUGUUUAUGACUGAAAUUAGUAUUUAGUGUUUUUUGGUUGGAUUAAAUGUUGGGUUUUUAAAGUUUUUGCUUAGGGUUUACUUCUGAAUAUUAUUUGUAGGGUUUGCUUCAGUUCUUUCAGUUUGUGCAUUUGGUUGAGUUUUACAAGUUAUGAUAUUUGUCUGAACUCUAUUUUGAUUAGAUGACAAAAUGUUAAAACUAGUAGCUUUAUGAGUGAAGCAGGAUAUAUAGAGAUUUUAUUGACAUAAUUGGUAAUUAAAGCCCAGUAGGAUAUGGAUGAGUCUCACCACACACUUGUAACUGAAAACUAAGUGUGGUCGGUUUUAAUCAUCAUAUGCUAUUGGAAAAUGUUGUUCAUUUUGGGGCCAGGAGUGUGUGGAUAGCAAAACAUACUGGCCCUUGUUCUUUUUGAGGCAAGAACUUUAUUGAUUUAUUUUUGGCUGUUAGAGGCAGAAUGAUGUGAAGCUAUACAUGAUAUUGCAUUUAGAUUUUGUUUUUGAAAAAAAAAAAUAUCAGCAAGAACUAAUAUUUUAAGUUUCUUACUAUAGGUUGUGUUUCUCUUAUUUGUGAAUUUUUUGUUUAAGGGAAGUGAUUAAUGCCUGAUAUUUCAGUCCAAAAGAUCAGUUAUUUUGAUGAAUGUGGUCUUAAGUCCUUUCUUGAUGAGCUAUUUAGUAUCCUCUGCUAUACUUUUCAUUGAAAUAAAUUUUAUAAUUAUGAUGUAUUGGCGUUCAAUAAGCAGGCUUGUGGAGGAUCAUGUUUUUUUUUUUUGAAGCUGCAAUUUUUUACUUGUUCUAUGUAAUUUUGAUUUUUACUUGUUCUUAUAUUAAUUAAAGGGCAAACUAGAUUUUUGUUGAAAAAAAUUUGUUGUAGUGUUCCCACUUGAACUGAGUGCUACAUAAUGCCUCCAUUUCUUUGAUAACACAAAGGUGCCCAUUUUUACUGACAUAUUUCUAAUGUUAUUGUAGAUUGCUUCCAUCAAGGUUAUUCGCAAUAAGCAGACUCUUUUAUCAGAGGGCUAUGGAUUCGUAGAGUUCUUUUCACAUGCUACAGCUGAGAAAGUCAUACAGAACUAUGCUGCAAUUUUAAUGCCUAACACAGAACAGCCCUUCCGUCUUAACUGGGCAACAUUUAGUACGGGUGACAAGCGUUCAGAUAAUGCUCCUGAUCUUUCCAUUUUUGUAGGAGACUUAGCUGCAGAUGUUACAGAUAGUUUAUUGCACGAAACGUUUUCUAGUAAAUAUCCGUCUGUUAAAGCUGCAAAAGUUGUCUUUGAUGCCAAUACUGGCCGUUCAAAGGGCUACGGUUUUGUGAGGUUUGGCGACGAGAAUGAAAGGUCACAGGCUAUGACUGAAAUGAAUGGUGUUUAUUGUUCUAGCAGGCCUAUGCGCAUUGGUGCUGCAACUCCCAGGAAAUCUUCUGGAUAUCAGCAACAAGGUAUUUAAUUCUACGUGCCUUUUCUUUUUGAAGCUAAACUUUGGAGGUAUCGGUAAGACUCUACAUGAGCCUGAAUGGCUGUGCUAUUAAUCUGUUAAGCAAAUAACUGAUAACAUUUUUUGUUAUCAAUGGUAGAAGUGCAUUGCACACGGUUAAGUUUUCUUUGUGGUAGAAGGAGCAGAUUGUCCCAUGCAUUUCACAAUUACUAAUAUUUAUCUUAGUUAAUUAUGUUUCUUUAAGCUACGUGAUUUUGGUUUUCUCUUCCGAAACAUGGUAAUUUACAUGACCAUGGUGUGAAUAUGCUAUAUUUAUUCGCUCUAGUUUUGCUUGGUUCUACAGGGGGGUAUGCUCUGAAUGGUACACCAACCCAAGGGUUCCAAUCUGAUGGAGAUGCUACAAACACAACAGUGAGUAGUCUUUGAGGUUCUCAUGGUUUUAACCAACGGUGUCUAUGAUAUUUUUCUCCACUGGCUGACUUGUGUGUCAAUGAUAGAUAUUUGUUGGAGGGCUUGAUCCCAAUGUUACUGAUGAAGAUCUCAGGCAGCCCUUCUCUCAGUAUGGUGAGAUUGUCUCUGUUAAAAUACCAGUUGGAAAAGGAUGUGGGUUUGUACAAUUUGCCAACAGGUAUUUUGUUCGUCAUACUUUGUCCAACAUUAGUGCUAUUUACUAUUUAACAAGUUAUCAUAUGACCCUUUUGGACCUCUUGCGACAGAAAUAACGCUGAGGAGGCAUUGCCGAAACUGAAUGGCUCAGUAAUUGGCAAGCAAACAGUCCGGCUUUCAUGGGGUCGCAAUCCAGCAAAUAAGCAGGCAUUUUCUCUUUCUUACUAACCCUACUCUCCCAAUACCCCCGCCACCAUUGUGCUGGUUCUGGGAGUGGUCUGUGCUUCACCUGGAACAAGGCUUGUUAUUUGUUUUAGAUUAAGUGACUGUUAAGCAGAACAAUUGUUCUUUAUAUGUGGUUUUUUGGAGUGACAUUGACAAGUAGGAUUUUGUUGUUGUUUGGUUAGAACUUGGAUUACAUUACGUUCCAGUAUGUAUGCCAUCAAUUUCAUCACUCAUUUCUCUAUAUUCCUUUUUUCUGAUUUUACAGCAGUUUAGAAUGGAUUUCGGCAACCAGUGGGCAGGAGCGGCUUACUAUGGAGGACCUGUUUAUGAUGGUUAUGGUUAUGCUCUGCCGCCACAACAUGACCCAAGCAUGUAUGCUGCAGCUGCUGCAUAUGGAGCUUACCCUGUUUACGGUACCCACCAACAACAAGUAAGCUGAGAAGACAGAGCUGCCCCUAUGUGUUAGCAGCUACCAAGAAUUAGUGAGUGAACUGAGCGAGUGCAAGGAGUAGUAGUUUUAGUAAUGAGACAUGAUGACUCUAGGGUCUCUAGUUCUGUAAUUGGCUUGGCGCUCUGGAAUUCUUAUAAAAUCCCUCCAAUUGCGGAGCGGAACUGAAUUUUGACAACUUAAGGUAGUUCUGUAAGGGAUUUGGUUGAUCAUUUGGUUAGAAUCACGUGAUUUUAACACAACCUUAAUUCUUGGGGUCAAUGCUUGUGCUUCUCAUCUGUUGCAUCUUCUGGUUUAUGUGUUUCAUGGGUCCUAGCAGAAGUAUAUGCCUUUCGAAUUGUCAAGGAGUGUACUUGCGAACAUAUGAUGGGGCAAGCUAGCUAGCGGUCUUCCGUUGGCAAUUUCCUGCAUUUGCUGAAAGGCCAAAGCAAAGAUUGCAGUUGUUUUAUAAGCGAACCCUGCUAAAACCCUUUAUUGCAUCUAGUUGGGCUUAAACCCUACUCUUCGCACAAUACUUGCGGUAAAACUAAAUCGCUAGCUCCAUGAUUUGAAGUUCCCAUCAACGCAACAAUAGAAUAAUGUGAGUAGCAUGUGUUAAUGAUACUAUAGAAUGAUGAUCAUCAUCAUCACCGUGCAGCUAGUAUUAUUAAUCUGCACUGCUCACUUUAUCGCAAUCAUCAGGAGAGGCUCGAACCCAUUCUGAGUAGCAAAGAGUGAUAGGGAAGCGGAAGGCUCACAAAGCAGAACACCUGCCAUAUAAUACAGAGUAAAAUGUAAGCUGGCAAAGUGUUGGAACAGUGGGGCGCACAGCACCCCGUAGUUGGGUUGGCCAAUUGGGGCACAUGAGGAACAAUAUUUACCAAAAGUCGAGGCAGAGUGAUACCAUUGGCGGUGGCGAUCUUGUACCUUUAUAAAUUGGUAUUGGACUACAACCCCCGAAUCUGAAUACUUAAGAAUUUGAUUACCAAGGGUGAAUAUGAAUUUAGAGAUUAACCAUCUCGAUACUGAUUCAUUUUUUCUCUCGUUUCAUGAUUGUUUUCAAGCAAGUAAAACUGUAAAACGUAUGGCAUGCCCGUGUCCAACCAAAGAAGGCUCGUGUCGCCUUCAGAUGGGCACACAUGGCGCUGUCUGGCCGUUAAUGAAUAAUUAGCUAAAUAAAAUAAAUAGGCGUAGUACUGAAUAUAGUAAGGUGGGCUCUGCAACCGUCUCUGCGCCCAACACGUUUCCAAUGGUUCACAUAUCUCUUUCCUCUUCUUCUUCUUGUCCGCUACUUCACCGCCGAAUCUUUCUUCCUUCAAUCCAUGCUUCUUCUUCUUCGGUUUCGUCGCCGCGGCCGAAAGUCGUCGUCACCAGAGAGCGUGGCAAGAAUGCCAAGCUCAUCGCCUCUCUGGUAAAUAUUCAUAUCACUCUGCUGUUUUUUAUGACAAAUUUCUGUAUUUCUCUUUCAAUUAUUGCAAUUUUGCUUUCGUUUUUGGAUUUCUAGGGUUGUACAUUUUGUUUUGUUUCUUCCAUUUCCGAAUUUCAUUUGUUAUCUACGCAAGGAGUGAUGUGGCAUUUUUACAGUUCCGAAUUUCAGUGUGUGAUUCAUUGUCCAGGAUAACUGUAUCUUUUUCACACUGUAGAUAUAUAAUCUGUACCGACAGUAGUACUUGACUAUUCUUAUCCAAUUAUGACACGCUUUUCAGUAAUCAGAACUAUAUAUAUGUCUGUGUAUCUAUGUCUUUGCAUAUUUAUGUGUAAUCUGUAUGCAUUUUUUUUUUUUUUGGAAAUGAAUUAAUCUGUAUGCAUAUGUGCAUAUUUGUGCAAUUAUAGCAAGUUCUGGUGUUAUGAUAGAGUUUUAAAUUUGUUGAGUACAGGCGAAGCAGGGAAUCAGCUGUUUGGAACUUCCUCUCAUCCAGCAUACAAGGGGGCCGGAUCGAGAUAGGCUUUCUACUGUAUUGACUGGUAAUUUCUUCCAAUUUUGCAUCUUUUUGUUGUUGCUUGUGAUGCGGAGCAAUGCCGCAGAGGGUGUCAUCAUAUCGGACAUCGUUAAGGCAGUGGAAUUUGUGUUGAUCUUAAGAUCUUUGAGAUGAAUCUCUUUUCUUUCCUAAGAUAAAUGUAAAAAUAGCUGUCAAGCACAAGCCUUUCGGUGUGAUAUGUGUUCAUGUAACGUGUUCAAACAAAUGGGGAUACUGUUCCCCGACUAACCUUUUUAUUUUAAUGCUCCCUCUUGGCAGCAGAUACAGUAUUUGACUGGAUUGUCAUAACAUCCCCUGAAGCUGGUUCAGUCUUUCUGGAGUCAUGGAAGUAAGGGAUACAACUUUCUAACUUGAAAUCUGUCGCAUUUUGCAUGUCAAGACUCCUGCAUUUUGCAUAUCAAGACUCCUGCAUCUUUAGUUUAAACUUGUAGUUUCAAGGUUUCUUUAAGGUGCACUAAUGUGUCUAUAUCACUUCCUUGCUCAACAGAGUAUGAAUCUUCUCUUUGCUUCAAGUUCACCUCUACACCCCAAAAAUCAUUAUAAUCUUGGAUUAGCAUGCAUUUUCCAUUGCAAUAUGAUCUUUAUUAGUUUGUGAGGUGAAAGAAAUUCUCCUGUGAUCUCAAUUUCCAUAUAUUCUCUGGUUCAAAACUUUUCUCGACUUGUCAGCAUUAAGGGAUACAUCCCCUUUAUAUGAACUUUGGGAGUUUGGUUUGAAGGACUAAUCUGUUGUUUGGUUAAAUUCUUUAAAGUUUUAUGGUUUCCAGAAGAAUUACAGAGAAACGGUCUUUGAUAUUGCAUUCUUCCCUGAUCUUUUUGGAUGAUUUCUAUUCUCCAGAAUGACAUCAAGCUUCUUCUUGGUCUUUAGGGAUGCUGGAACUCCAAAUGUUAAGGUGGGCGUCGUGGGGGCAGGUACAGCAAGCGUGUUUGAGGAAGUACUACAGUCAUCAAAGACGUCCCUCAGUCUUGCCUUUGUGCCAUCAAAAGGUAGUCAUGUCAUGCUUCUACAUUACUCUAGGCAAUCAUCUAAGUCUGUACAAAUUGUAGUACUGCCUCUCAUGCUUCCUUCAGUCAGUCAGAAGACCAAAAAGAAACAUCAUGACAUUAAGAAUGCUAUUAUAUUGAAAUUGCUCCAAAUGAAAGUACAUUGAGUAUGCUGUGAAGGUUUUAUUGUGCUGAAGUUAGAUGAUAGUGUAACCUGAUGGACAUUGGAUGUUUAUAUUGCUUAGAUUGAUUUCUAUAAGUCCAGGUUGGCCCGCAGCCACUUCAUUUGGUGGGGGCUUAGCUCUGCAUCAUGACAUUCUUGCAUUUCUUUUACUUGGAAGUGAUAUGAUAGAAUCUAUGCACUUGAACCAAGUGGUUUAUUGUUAUUUUCUUUUGUUCAAGAUGACCCUAUAUUGUGGGAUCUCUUUUGUAUCUUUUCUUCUUUAUCCAGUAUUUGAUUCUAAUCAUUUCCCGCAUUUUCUUUUGUAAUCUGUACUUUUCAGCAACAGGCAAGGUUUUGGCUUCAGAGCUCCCUAGAAGUAGGAAAGACAAAUGCACAGUACUAUAUCCUGCUUCUGCAAAAGCUGGCAAUGAGAUUGGUAAGUGAAGGCUUCAUUAGUAUGACUACAGACACAGGCCAUAAAUUUUUGGAGUACAAAAGUAGUGAAAGUUAGAUGCAUUGUUGUCAUGGCCAUUAUACAAUUAAGAUCAAGAUACAGGAUCUAUGCACAGUCCGACAUUAAAAUAAAGUAUUUAUGAAAACCACAGUUAGGAAUAAAAUCUCUUUAAGUGUGUAUCCUCUUUCAGAGACAGGAGAUUGCUCUGCAAUUAAAUUGGUAACGUGGAUCUUAAUCUAUCUUAAUUGUGAGUUUAAAAGUUUCAGCAGAUAAAGAGAUAAAUAUGCUAGAUGUCAACCAUAAUGCUAACUGACGAAUAAUCAAACUUCAAAUGUUCCUGAUAAAUUUCUUCAGAAUGUAAUUUUACACUAAAUGGAAUUCAUUGAUCUUCAGAAUGCAAUUACUGUCUAAAAGGAACUCAUCUCUAAGUGGCACUCAUUUAUCUCAGACUGUGAUCUUACUGUCUUUGCAUAUCAUUCUUCAGUACUUAUAUUGUGGUUUACCAUCUUCAUUUGGCAUAUUUGUUUCAGAGGAAGGCCUGUCCAAUCGUGGAUUUGAGGUCACGAGGCUCAAUACAUAUACCACGGUAUGACCUGAUGGUCUUAUCUAUGUGUUCUACAUGAACACUCUUUUGAUAGUUAAUGAUGUAAUUCAUGAACAACAUGAUUUCUCUAGGGACCUGUUGACCAUGUCGAUCAAAUGGUUCUGAAGCAGGCUCUUUCUGCCCCUGUUGUUGCAGUUGCUUCUCCUUCUGCAGUUCGGUAAGUAAUUGGUUCUUUUACCUUUUCAUAUUACUUGUGUAUUAUUUUCUCUGAGGCUCUUUCUUCAGUGUGAUUUUCACUGGAAACUAUUGUCUUGAGUGCAUUCUUAGUUUGAACUCUGCCAUUCACCGACUUGUUGAUCAGUUCUAUACAUUUCUGUUUACCACCUUUUGACCCCCUGCUGAUGCAUUGAAAAUUCUUGAAUACAUGUUUUUUGUUUUCAUCAUUUCACAAUUUGAGCCAUCUAUGUGAAGCAAAGACAUCAAGAAAGACAGUAAUACCUAAUUUUAGCUUGUAUUAUCUUGAGUGGAACAGUGCUUGGGUCAAUCUUAUUUCCGAGUCUGAGCAAUGGAAUAAUUCAGUUGCCUGUAUUGGUGAGACAACUGCCAAGGCUGCUAGGAGACUAGGCUUGAGAAAUGUUUACUAUCCAGUGCAACCAGGUCUUGAAGGGUAAUGUUCACAUUGUAACCUAUUCUCCUGAAAUAUAUUUGGCGGCGUGCAGUUUUCAUGAUCUCAUUUGGUCUGAGUGACAAACUAUAAUUCUGAAUUGCUCAAAUCUCAGUUUCUUUACUUUAUAUAUUUGUAGACUACUGGUUUUUAUUAUAGACCAAUAUCAGCUGUACUUUCAGUAUCAUUUGAUCUAUAUGACUGAUGGUGAAUUCAAGCAUGCUGUUAUAAUUCUCAUGGUCUUGAUUCUCUCAUAUCAGAUGUUGUCCCUGAUGAUUGUUUUGGACUCGUAAUAUGCUACUCUGAGAUGCUACCUUGAGGCUUCCUUUUCAUUGUGUAACUUUGGUUUAUGGUUGAUAGAUGGGUGGAUAGCAUUGUUGAAGCACUGGGAGCAAGUGUCCAUUUGUAGAGGUGAUGUGUUCUUUUCAGGUAACCUUUUUUUCUUUUAGAUUUUGUUAAGUUAGCAUUGUAUUUUUUCUUUGCUUAUGUUACAUGAGCGGUCUGUCCAGUUUUCUUUCCGGCCCAGGCAGACUGAUGAAGAGGUAACUGGUGCACAGUUGAGAAGCACAAACAGACGCCUGAACUGUAUAAUUUUACAGCUUCCACACAAACUAGAUGCAAAACAAGGACAAGUAUUUUUCAAGCUGCAGGACAUAAUGAUGUGGGUGACACCCUGAAUCUGGGAUCAUAUUCAUUCAGCAGAGCUUUCAUUGGCGUUUUUGAAGUCACUGUCUUGGGAUCACAUUUGGAAAGAAGGCCUACCUUACAAGUCUUGUAUGUAUAUUUAUUCCUGUGCCAUGUUGACCUUCACAUCAAUUUUGCUUUCUUCUUGGUGUACUCGUAGAAUUCUUUGUUCCCUUCUUUGUUAGAUCAAGGGAAGAAUUCCCACGUUCUAGCUUGUACAUUUAAUGAUCAAAAUGGAAAGCUCACUUUAUCAGAAUCAUCUUGAUCAGAGUCUUUUUUAUAACGAAGACAUUUUUAUCAAUUAAAGCUGAGCCUUCUAAAACAUUUGGCUGUGACUGUUAUUCUUCUUCAGCUUCAGUAUUCAAAAAUCAAAUAGGUUUUACUAAAAAACAAAAAAAAAAAAUCAAAUAGGUUUGACAGAUAAAGCCAGUACUGUCUAACAUGAGGGUAACUAGUUGAAUAUUCAGUAUGACUAUCGGGGUUUGGCUGGGAAGGCAGGAGGAGGCUUCCCUUGAAGAAAAGAUGAGAUCAAGGUGAGUGCUCGCCGAGGUUGGUAGCUGGGAACCAAAUGGCCAGCUCCCCUUACUGUAGCGAAUGUUAACCCCCUGUAGCCGAUCACAUACCCUCCAACCUCUCCAUCAGAGUUCCAUGGCCGCCAUGGCUUCUUAAUCGGUAGCUUGAGCCUCUUUAUGGAGUAUCGAGUGGAUGUGCCUGGCACGUUCGCAUCAGUGUCUCCACUGCAGGUAGCAUUCAACAUAUAUCAUGUAUAUAUUUUAGACAAUAUGUCCAGGGCUAACUUAAAUUUCAGUAACAUAUAUCAUGUAUAUAUUUUAGACAAUAUGUCCAGGGCUAGUCACUGGUACUGACCUGUACAUCCAUAAUCUUAUCCCACUUGCUAUAAGCCGCUUUAUUCCGGGUAGGAUGGUUAUUGGGGCGUCUAUCCAUCCUACAUCACUGGAAACAAAAACAAUGUAGACAUUUAGUACUUGGUGAAUUAAAUUUAUCUGUGUGUGUAUGUGUUAAUAGUGAAGCUUGUAUAUAUGUUCCUGGGUGCGUACCUGCAAAAUGUCCAGUUUGUUGGUUUAGCAUGAAGAGCUGCUCUCACCUCGGCGAGGUUUAAAUAGGCCUCCACAUAUUUAUCAGAGCAUGGAUCAAAACUAUUAACCUGAUCAGAAUGUAACAUGCAUCAGAUCAAGUUGCCAUUUUCGGUUUCAUAUACAAGCUCAGCUGGUAUGUAACUGAUAAAGCUAGCUUUGGUUAAUCAGAGGCUUACAGGAGUUUCUGAGACUUUGGUUCCAGAUGACAUGUCGCACUUUGGCGCGUAGAUGUUGUAAGGAUCAAUGUCUCCAAUCUCGUCUUCUGAUUUGUUCAUGUAGAUAAUACACGUCUCCGAUUUGUUACCUGAGGCGAAGUCACAAUUUUUGUGUAUUCCGGCAUGAGUUUCGUCCGAGUUCAGAUCAUGUGUCCACAAAUAAUCAUAUUCACCUAGUGUGCCGUCGUUCUCGUCGAUCCAAGGAUUCCCAAUCUGGAGAUUCAUAACAAGCUCAAACCUAUUUAGUCUUAAUUUUAUACCUAAUUAUGUCUUAAGUUACUGUGUUAUGUGACUAAUGUGAGAAGAAGUCCAGAGCUCACCGCAAUGCCUUUGAGAUUGAUUUUUGUUUUCUUUGUGGAGUUGUUCUUUGAGAGAAUGGUCCGAGCAAGUUGUGGUGCAUAAUGACCAGCAUAGCUCUCCCCAGUUAUGAAGAAAUCCCUAUCUCUGUAUUCAGGAAAUCUCUCUAGCCAGUUAACAAGAAAUUUGUAAGAGUCUUCUGCAGUUCUCUUGUCACCGACGUUUUCGUAGUCCGAUUUGUUGUUUGAAUAAGAAAACCCAACUCCUGCCGGAGACUCCAAGAACAGUACAUUUGCCACUGUGUAUAUAUCAUUAAUUUUUGCUGCUUAAUUAAUAUUCUGGAUCAAGUAUAAUCUUAUCAUAAACUCAGACUAAAGAAUUUAGAGUUGUAAAAUACCAUUGUUCCAAGCAUGAUCGUUCCGGAAUAAUGUCUUUCCAUCACUGUUGACUCUGAAAGGUCCCAAUUCUUCCAUGGCUCCGUAUCCAAAAGAUGAGCAUCCUGGUCCUGUACCACAACAACAGUAUAUAUAUAUAUAGAUAUAUAUAUAUAUAUAUAUACACGUUAAUACGUAGAUUGAUCUUUUUUACACUCGAAGCAAAUCCAAAUGAAAUGAAUAUAUCUUGCUCUCAAAAAAUUUCAUCAUGAUCGUUUAGGGGUACAUUAACAUUUACGAAUUAGCGCGAAGUAAUUAGUUUUUACCUCCAUUUAACCAUAACACCAGAGGUUUUGUUGAAGAAUUUUGAGGUGACUCUACAAAGUAGUAGAACAGUGCUCUCCCAGCUACAUGAUCCACUCUAACAUAGCCUGCAUAUUGAUUAAAUUCUUCUCCUGGAUUAAGUUUAGGUUGUCCUGGCAAAGUAUCAAUCUUAUCAGCUUCUUUCAACCCAUCCUGGGGUGCAACACAAACUGGAGAAGAAAAUUCGUGAUCCUCGACAUCCGAAACAGCGAAAGAUAGCGAAUGAGGAGAACGAUUGGUUUUAAAUCUUCUAGUUUUGAUCAAUCUGUUGAGGUUGUCAAUUUGGUUGGCGUUGCAUGGUAAAAGAAAGGUCAAUUGGUAGCUACAGAAGAAGAGCAAACAUGUAAACCCUGAAAACUUCAUGAUACUGUUGCCAUUGUACUGAAAUUGCUUUCGGUAUAUAUUGAGCUAAUUACGUGAGUGGUGAAACCUUGAUUGAGACGAGAAUGCAUGCUUCAUGCAUUUAGAUGAUCAUUUGGGUACAUAAUCUUGCCAAAGAUUAAGGGAUUCUUGACAAGGUACGUUUUUAUGGAAUAUAGCUAGUCAAUAUACAGCUUUAUCAAUAAUGAAAUUACCAUAUUGAACAAUCGAGUGAUUUGAAAUAUACAAUUCGAUAUCGUUAACAAGAUACAGUGAAUCAUUCAAUAAAUAUAGUGAGAUUUUAUAUGAGGAAGGGAAAUUAUUUAGGAAAAUGAUUUGUGGCCUCAAGGUGUCAUGUCAAUUCACAAAAACACAUCAUCAAUUUGUCAAAUCUUAUCAUGUAUUAAUUGAAGAAACAGACUAUCUUAUCCUUCCUUAAUCUUAGCGCUAAUUUAUAUUAACGUUAAUUAUAAAAGGGAUGUGAAAUCCAUACAUCAUAAAUUGAAAUUCACACAUCAUUUUUUAUUUUUUGGUAACUUAAAUUAUUUUUUAGUGAUUUAAAUUUUGUCUUUUUGUGAAUAUAUUAACCAAAAAAAGAAAAAAAUUUGUGGAUUUUAAUUUGAGGUGCGUGGAUUUCACCUCCUUUAUAAAAAAUACUUUGACGUUUUCUUCUUUAAUUACUUUUACUUUUAUGUCAUUGCCCAUACUAUUGAUAUGAUUAUGACAUGAAUGGUAAAAUUACAGUACUAAUUAUCAAAUUUUAAUAUGACAUGCUAUGAUAAGAUUUAUUGUUACUGAAUGUUAAGAUGCAUGAAUGGUAAAAUUACAGUACUAUUGAUAAGAUUUAUUGUUACUGAAUGUUAAUCAACGUACACUUGCAUGAUACGGUAGUUCAUGUCUAAAUGACAUGUAACUCUGAAUCAAAGAUUGUUUCUAUUCACCAAUGGAAGUGAUUCAUAUCGAAUAGGAUAUCUAAAAUAUGAAAGUGUUAUUAGAUUAGUUAAUAAUUAUGAAGAAGGAGGAAGCUUUCCGUGAAGGAAAGAUGAUAUCAUGGUGAGUGCUCGCUUUGGUUGAUAACUAGGAACCUCAUGACCAGCUCCUCUUACAGUAGCAAAUGCCAACCCCCCUUUGUAGCCAGUAACAUAUCCUCCAACCUGCACCCAAUUGUAACACCAACUUACAUCAUCACCAUAUCUUUGAUUAGGAAAACCCAGAAAGCCCUAGUUUUUGUUUCGAUGAGGAUGUCAUGCACAUAUUAACAUAUAUAUACGCUUACCUCUUUAUCUGAAUACCAUGGCCUCCAUGGAGCCUGAAUGGGUAAGCUUAGGUUGUGUAAUGAGUAUCUAGAUGAUGUCACUGGUACUCUUCCAUCAGUGUCUCCACUGCAAUAAGGUGAAGUUUCAAGUAUAAAGCACUCUAAGCCAUAUAUGAGUGCGUUAUGCAUAAAAUCUCAAUCAAUUCAAGGAUCUUCUCAUGGUUCUCACCUGUAUAUCCAUACUGUUAUUCCACUCUCUAAGAGAUGCUUUAUUGUGGGUAGGAUUGUUGGUGGGCUGUCUGUCCAUCCAACACCACUACCAGAAAAAAGAGAGGUAGAAUGAAUAAUAUAAGAUAGAAAAGUGUUCGAGGUUGAUUGUUUAGAUAUUGAUCUAAAUGUCUAAUUAUGUAUUACCUGCAAGCUGACCAAUUUGUAGGUUUUACAUGAAGAGCAGCUUGGACCUCCUUAAGAUUUAGGUAGGCAUAGACAUAAUAGUCUGAGCAUGGAUCAAAUCCAUUAACCUGCGUUUCAUGAUGACUUUCAGUCACUGAAUUUUACACAAAUGUUACUAGUUUGGUUAUCAGAAUCAUCCAUGCUUAUUUAGAGACUUACUACUGCAGAACCAACUGAAAUGUAUAUGGUAUCUGAUGAUGAGGAUGACAGAUUGCAAAGUGGAGCGUAGAUGUUGUAUAUAUCAACGUCUCCAAGCUCAUCGCUUGCUUGAUUUAGAUAUUUUGUACACUUGCUCGAGAAAUUUCCAGAUACAAAGUCACAAUAUUUGUUUAUGCCUUCGUAGGUUUCAUCAGAAUUCAAAGCAUGUGUCCACAAAUAUUCAAAAAUACCCAUUUCACCAUGAUUAUCAUCAAUCCAAGCAUUUCCAAUCUGCACAUUAUUUCCAAAUAAUAAGAGACAUAUAUACGUGCAUAUAUAUAUAUAUAUAGGGUAUGAAGUAGCUAGCUACUAGUACUAAUACAUAUAUCAUUGAUUUCUAAGCUCACCGCAAUGCCUUUGAGAUUGAUUUUCGUUUGGUUUGUGACUUUGUUCUUUGUUACUAUGGUGUAAGCAAGUUGAGGUACAUAGUGACCGGCAUAGCUUUCUCCGGCAAUGAAGAAGUCCCUGGUUUUGUACUGGGGAAAUCGAUCUAGCCAAUUCACAAGAAAAGUGUAUGAAUCUAGGGCUGUUCUCUUGUCACCCACACUUUCGUAGUCCGACUUUGUGUUUGAGUAUGAGAACCCCACUCCUGCUGGAGACUCCAAAAACAGAAUAUUUGCCACUGCAUCCACAAAAUGCAAACAACAAAUUUCAUUGGAUCAUUAUUAGUCUAAAGUAUUCAUGCUAAUCAACUGUUAUCUACCAUUGUUCCAAGCGUAGUCAUUAGGAAACAGUGUCUUUCCAUCACUGUUGACUCUAAAAGGUCCUAAUUCUUCCAGGGCUCCAUAUCCAAAAGAUGAGCAUCCUGGUCCUGUACAAAUGAUUACAUUAGAAUUAAGUACUCGACUGAGACAAAUUAAUAUAAGUAAUUACAGUAGUUAAUUUGAACUUGUACAAUUAUUUUAAAUAGGAUCAAAAUCAAGCUGCUAAAACGAUUUCCACGGGAGCCAAAUUAUAGGAUGCUGCAGAUGAUGAAAUAGUAUUUCCCACUGAAUAGAAAGUGGGAUGGGUAAUGAUCAUACACAUUAACUAUAAUGGCUGAAAAUGAAUGAACGCUUAUUUUCAACCCUCUAUUAUACCUUCUAGCCAGAUAACGUCUUUAGUGGUGGUGGACCUUUAACUCUUUUGACUCAAUUAAACUUUACAUAGAAUUCCAUAAUUAACUACUAUGUAUAAUAUGCAUGUUUAUGUGUAGAUACACGCCACGUGUAUUGAAGAAAUUUUGGUUUACAAAACGCAAAACAGGAUCGCAUGUAUUCAUCAUAAACAUUGUUUUCAGGUGUCCUUAUUGAUCGAUCGUUCACCACAGCUAAACAACAACUCAACAAAGGGUACACUACAGAAUACACAUCUAGCUGUUUUCCAAUGUUCUAUUUUUCCCUUAAUAUCUCUCUAACUCUAAGUACAUGGUGUAGAACAAAGACCAUGACUACUGCAACAAAUUACUGAAAUUUAUGUUGAUAUAAUUUAUUUUAUUUGUUCUCCUUAUAAACUGACUAAUGGAUUUGGUUUGAGUAGGAAAAACAUGUUUUCAAAAUAUUCCUUGGUUUACAUUUGUUAAUAUCAUUGGUAUGUAUAAUAGUACGUAUUAUUUACUAUAUGUAUAUAUGUAAUUAUAGAUUUCAUCAUGCAUGAUUUGAGGCACAUUUCCUUCUCAGAGAUAUAUUCAUAUACACACUUACAUGUUCAUGGUGUAUAUAUAAAUACUACAUGCAUGUUCGUUUAUGUAAGUACUGCAUGCUUGAUUGGAUAUAUAGGUAUAUGCAUGCAGUGAUGUAGAAGAUUAUUCACCACCGAUCUAAGCAUUGUCGAAUCUAUAGAAUGCUAUUACAGACUUACCGUACAUUGAUAUUGAUAUUGAUAUUUGUACGUAUAUAGAAAGAUUUACCUCCAUUUAACCAAAGCAGCAGAGGUUUUGUUGAAGAGUUGUGGGGUGACUCUACAAAGUAGUAGAACAACUCUCUCCCAGCUUUCGGCUCCACUGAAACAUAGCCUGCAUAUUGUUUAAAACCCAUUCCUUCUCCAGGUUGGCCUGGCAAAGCAUCAAUCUCAUCAGCUCCCAUCAGACCAGCUUGGGAUCCAACGUAAACAGGAAGAAAGCGGUCAUCUGCUAAGAAAUCGUUUUCCCAAGACAGUUCAGCCUGAGGAGAAUUGGCAGAUUUGCGAGACUUGAUCAGCUUGUUGAGGUUGUCGAUUUGGUUGGCGUCGCAUGUUCUUAGAAAGGAUAAUUGGCAGAUAGAGAUGAGUAGAAAACACGUAUACACUGAAAGCUUCAUCUCUUGUGGUAUAUAUUCUGAGAGGGUGUGAAACGCUAGCUUUAUAUUUGCUAGUAUUUAUAGACCUGGAGGAUAGUAUUUGUACAGUGAAAACUAAUUAAAAGGCUUUUAGCUUGACUUUAAGUUUAAUUAUGUAUCAUUUGCACUUGACAUAUCACUUUUGGACAAAACACAGCACAUGCAUUGAGGGUUUGCACCCCAGAAAGCUAAAAAGUAAGAACCUCGCUAUCUGGCUAUGGGCUGGCCGUGCAUGCUUGCCAUUCUACAUAGAUGUAAUUGUCUAUCAAUUCCUAUUUCCUAAAGAAUGGCAGAAAGAUUAUUUUCUGGAUGACAAUAUAUUGUGAGAAUGUGGUGUGUCUGUGUUUGUUUAUAUUAGAAGGAGAAGAGCAUCUUCAGUACACUACGUGUAUUUUCACAUACAUACAUGGAUUGUCAAAAUUAGAUGAAAUAAUAUAGAAACAUGGUGGUCAAAUAUAUGAAUUGUUAUGAAUAGUUAAGAUUGCGUUCGUCGUGUAAAUACACAUCGUGCAUACAAAAAUUUCAUUAAAAAGAGUAGUGAAUUUUCAUAAACUUGUUUAUAGAAGUUCAUUUCUGAGGUCAUGAUGCAUAUCGUGAAUAAAUUUCAGUACGUACUAGCUUGCAUGGCAUAGAAUGAAAUACAUUCCAAGCACCGCUACAUAUAUUUGGUUGGUUUAAAACGUAACCCUAAACUAAUUGAUCCUACGCUAAUUGUAUUAUUCUAUAUAUAUAUAUAUAUAUAGGAAUUGUAUAUCAGUUCCUAUCCUGAGCGAAGCUUCACUUUGAAAUUAAAGUGUGAAGUUCCUUAUUUAACUCACUUUUCGGUCAUAUUUCCACAUCUCCACCGUUCAGUUUGUAUAACCUAAUGCAUAUAUCACUUCUGCCAAGUUUCAUUGAAUUUGAUGAUCGUUUGGGUUUUCAUAAUCGUUAUUUACACAAACAAAACUGAAUAGACAGAUUUAUGGUCCGUUUGUUGAUUUGAUCUAAUUCGGUACCUUAACGAUUACCAAUUUGGAUGAAACUUGGCAAGAGUGGUGUAUGCAUUAGGUUCUACAAACUAAAUGGUGGAGAUGUGAAAAUAUGACCGAAAAGUGAGUCAAAUAAGGAACUUCACACUUUAAUUUCAAAGUGUAGUUUCGCUCUGGAUAGAAAUUGUAUAUAUAAAUGGCAUUUUUGGAAAAGAUGAUCAUAUAAAAAGUUUAAACCAACCAAUAAAAGAAUAAUAGCCACAAAAUAUAAUCACUUGGAGCAAUUAUUCAGCCAAGUUGAUAGGCAUUUUACAAAUUAAGGUGACGUUUUCCUAAUUUUAUUCAAUGACCAUCUUCUGAAAUGCAUGUUCCAUAUGACCUAGCUCCUAUGAAGGAGGAGCCGGAGGAAGUGUCCCCUGAAGGAAGGAUGAGAUGAAGACGAGUGAUCGCUGCGGUUGGUAGCUUGGAACCUUAUGGCCUGCUCCUCUUACUGUUGCAAAUGUCAACCCCUUGUACCCAACCACAUAUCCUCCAACCUGCAAACAUAUCAUUUUAACCAACAUCAUCAGAAUUCAUAUGUACUGAUAUAUAUUGGGGCAUCAAAUUUGAAAUAACCAUAUUAAGUUACGUACCUCAUCAGGGGUGGAGUUCCAUGGCCUCCAUGGAGUCUCAACUGGUAAGUUUAGUGUGUUUAUGGAGUAUCUAGAAGCCGUGACCGGUACUCGAGCAUCGGUGUCUCCGCUGCAGGUUUAGGUUUCCAUUUGGCAUUUAGCUUAUAUUCAAUUAACCUUGGUGGUCGAUCAAAGUAAUAGUACUGAUUUGUUGAUUUGCAUUCAGAGCAUACCUGUAUAUCCAUACCCUUAUCCCAGUUUCUAUGAGCGACUGUAUUGUGGGUAGAAUGGUUUCUGGGCUGUCCGUCCACCCAACACCUCUAAAGACCAAAAUGAUCAAUACAAUUACAAAUUUUGUAAUAUUAAGAGAAUAUACACAUGUAGCACACACAGUCUAAUUUACUUGGCAAAAAAUGUCAUAAUGCACAAGCCAAGAUUUAAACUUUACACUAUACCAAUGUUGUGUGAUGCAUAAAUCCAGAAAUAAAUGGUCAUUUAUAUGUGUCAUUUUUGUCUAGUGUAUAUAUUUGUAUACCCGCAAGCUGUCCAUUGGGUAGGUUUGACGUGAAGAGCUGCUUGCACCUCGGCAAGAUUCAGAUACGCUUCCACAUAUUCGUCAGAGCAUGGAUCAAAUUCAAAGACCUGCAUCGAUAUAAAACCAACAUCAUAUAUGACAAUCUUUGUGCUUGAGGAACAUGUUAAAACAAGCUCAGUUCUUGACGUUUCACCAAAGGUAAAAAACCAACUCCAUUCUAGACUUACAGAACCAACUGAACUGGGUGUUGUUUUUGAACCAUCUUCUAGGCAAAGUGGAGCAUAGAUGUUGUAUAUGUCGAUUUGUCCUUUCUCCUUGUACAGUUGAUGCACAUAGUUAUCACAUAAGUCGGAUGAGUUUUCUGAAGUAAAGUCACAAUACUUGUGUAUUCCUGCAUUGGUUUCGUCAGAGCUCAAAGCAUGUGUCCACAAAUAAUCAACGAUACCCCAUGCACUUGUAUUAUCGUCGAUCCAAGCAUUUCCAAUCUAAAAUUAUACAUCCAUUACUAAUUAAUUACCAUACUAAUAGAUCUAAGAUAUAUCUGCAUUAGUAAACAUUGAACUAAUUAAUAACUUGAUGAUGAACUCACUGCAAUUCCUUUGAGGUUGAUUUUAGUUUGAUUCGUGAUUUUGUUCUGUUGGACGAUGGUGUAAGCGAGUUGAGGUACAUAAUGGCCAGCGUAGCUCUCUCCGGUUAUGAAGAAAUCACGGUUUUUGUAUUCGGGAAAUCUCUCUAGCCAGUUUACAAGAAAAGCGUAAGAGUCCUCGGCCGUUCUCUUGUCACCCACAUUUCCAUAGUCCGAUGAUGUGUUUGAAUACGAGAAACCAACUCCUGCUGGAGACUCCAAGAAGAGGACGUUUGCCACUGCGUCCAUUAAGUAGUUUUGCUGCUUGUUACUGUCAACUCUCAAGUAUAUAGGUAUAUAUAAAAUUUGGGAUAAUAAUUUUGCCUAAUUAAGUACCGUUGUUCCAUGCAUAGUCGUUGGCAAACAACGAAAUUUUAUCAUUGUUGACUCUGAAAGGUCCCAGUUCUUCCAUGGCGCCAUAUCCAAAGGAUGAGCAACCUGGUCCUGUGAAUACGUACGUACGUACACAAACACAAGCACAUACAACAACAUAAACUAGAGUAGUAAAAAGUUACAUUCGUAAAGAAUAUAAUUGUACAGUAAUUAUGUUACCUCCAUUUAACCAUAAGACUAAGGGUUUGGAUGAAGAAUCUUGGGGAGACUCUACAAAGUAGUAAAACAAUGCUCUCCCAGCUUUGGGGUUUACUGUAACAUAGCCCGAAUACUGAUUAAACUCGGCUCCUUCCGUUGGUUGUCCUGGCAAAGCGUCAAUCUUAUCGGCUUCCUUAGCCCCGUCUUGAGAUCCGAUAUACACCGGUGAAUACUGAUCAUCUUCGACAUCAAAGACAAUGUCUGUCGACGAUUGAGAACGGGGAGGAUUGAGUCCAGAUUUACGAGACUGCUGGAGCAACUUGUUCAGGGUAUCGAUUUGUUUGGCGCGGCAUGAUAUGUUCAGAAAGGUAAACUGAAAGCUGAGGAGGAGAAGCAAACAUGAGACCUUCAUCUUCAUCAUGUUCGGUGAUGAUUAAUUAGUUAUGUACGGGUAUAUAUAGUAGUUAUACCCUUCGGACGAGAAUACUGAGGCGUUAGAUUAAUGUACAAGAGGAAACUGCUUAUAUAGCAGACGGACAAUUAGUACAGCAUGUAGCGUUUGUCUUACCUCAUUUUCGUUUCACGAGAUCAAGGUUAGAAACUGUUUGGAUAUGAUAUAUGCAAAACUCCAGCUAGCCUAGCUUGAAUAUUUCACAGAAGUUGUUAGAUCUUUGUUGAUUUUAUCGUCGAAAUAACAAGAGACGUCCGACGGCAAGUAUAUAAUUAAUUUAGGAAUUACAAUUACUGAAUCUCAUCUGUUUGUUUUUUAAUUUGUGUGCUAUUAUAACCUAGGCCAAAACUAGAAUGAUACAUCCAUUACUAAUUAGCAUAUUAAUAGAUCUGGGAUAUAUCUGCAUUAGUACGUACAUUGAAUUAAUCAAUAACGUAAUUAUGAGUUCACUGCAAUGCCUUUGACGUUGAUUUGAUUCGUGAUUUUGUUCUGUUGAACGAUGGUGUAAGUGGACAAUGGCAUUGGAUCAACUUGAUCUCGAUCGGUGAGAAAUUAACUUUGAAUCUCGAUCAGAGAUAUCUAUUCUCUUGAUUAAUUUCAAGAACUCAAUGUCAAUCAUGCAUAUUUUUGUACCUUCAAGAUGAUAUCAAUGCCAAAUCAAAUGAAACUUGAAGAUACACAUAAAAUUAUUAUUAGGCAUUUCACCAUCCUUCUGUUGAAGCUUAUAUUACAAAUUUAUUCAAGCACCAUGGUCAAGUACUCUUCAGAAUUCGAUGCUGAGCAACGAUCUCCGCCACGAGGAAGGACUGAAAAUUAAGAACCAGGAGGCGGAAGCGUACCCUGAAGGAAAGAUGAGAACAAGGUGAGUGCUCUCUCUGGUUGGUAGCUGGGAACCUCAUGGCUAGCUCCUCUUACUGUAGCAAAUGUCAAGCCUUUGUAUCCAACCACAUAUCCUCCAACCUCUUCACCGGAGUACCAUGGCCUCCAUGCAGUCUCGGUUGUUAAGUUGAGGGUGUUUAUGGCGUACGGGGUAGCUGUGACUGAUACUAACAAGUCCCGGUCUCCACUGUACGUAUAUAGAGAAUACUUGCAGUGUUCAGCAUAACUUUAACAUCAGCUGGCUAGUUAAGUUCAGUAUUUCUUUGUGAAUGAAAUAGGACGUCGAUCGGUGGAACGAUAUACAGAAACUUAAAAUCAAAGCAAGAUUCUCACGUACCUGUAGAGCCACAACCUUAUCCCACUUCCUAUGAGCUCUUGUAUUGUAGGUAGGACAGUCACUGGCCACUCCAACCAUUCGAUUUUACGACUAGAGACCAAAAAAGAUUAAGGAUCAUAAUUUGUUGUGAUUGAUGGAUUAAGAUCUAAGAAGAUACAUGACUGGCAAGUUUGUGUGCAUGUAUGUUUACCUGCAAGCUCUCCAUACUGUAGGCUUUACAUGAAGAGCUGCUUGCACCUCCUUAAGAUUUAGAUAAGUCUGGACAUAGUUGUCCGAGCAUGGAUCAAAAUCAUUAACCUACAUCAUAAUUAAUAGAUGUCAUGAUGUAUUGUUCUUCAUUCUUGGAUUGCAUUAUAAUUUAUUCACUAAUUUGCGAAAAUUGAUCAUAUUAGCGUCACACUUACUGAACCAGUUGAGGGCGCGGGUGAUGAUUUGUUGCAAAAAGGAGCGUAGAUGUUAUACUGAUCAAUGUCACCAUACUCAUUAUCUGAUAGAACUACAUGUUUACCGGUAAAGUUACAAUAUUUAUGUAUUCCGGCAUUUGUUUCGUUGGAGUUCAUAGCAUGUGUCCGCAAAUAAUCAUACCAACCCAAGUUCUGAGUAACAUCAUCGAUCCAAGCAUUCCCAAUCUGCAUAGUCAGCAUUAACUUAGAAAUGAAGAGAAGAAACUUUGUCCUAGCUAGCUAGCUAGCUAGCUAACUAGUAGUACUACUGCAAUUGGAGAAGCUAGAGAAUUUGAACUCACAGCAAUGCCUUUGAGGUUAAUUUUGGUCUGGUUUGUGACUAUGUUCUGAGAAAGAAUGGUGGAAGCAAGUUGAGGUACGUAAUGACCAGCAUAGUCCUCUCCGGUGAUGAAAACAUCACUGGAUUAUAUUGAGGAAAUCUCUCCAACCAGAUUACAAGAAAUAUGUAAGAAUCCCAAGCCGUUCUGUUGUCACCCACUUUAUAAUCGGUUGAUGUGUUUGAAUAUGAGAAGCCAACUCCUGCUGGGGACCUCCAAGAAGAGCACAUUCGGCUCUGCAUUAUGCAAAAUUAGAUGCAUAAAUUAAUUUUACCUCAAACAAAUUGAGAACAAAUUUGUUUUACUUGUUGUUCCAAGUUCAAAAACAAAGACUUGUGUUUAGUUACCAUUGUUCCAAGCAAAGUCAUUGUGGAAUAGUGUCUUUCCAUCCCUGUUGACUGGGAAAGGUCCUAGCUCUUUCAUGGCUCCAUAUCCAAAAGACGAGCAUCCUGGUCCUGUAAUGGUACUCAUACAGUAUAUGUGUUACACUCACCAUGCAAAUAGGGUGACAAUAUCAAAUUAAGUAGCCAAUCAUAUAUAAAAGACAUGUAAAGGAGAACGAUCAUAUAUAUAAAGGAGAUAUGAUUGUGAUAGCUAGUAAGUUUCAAAGAUUAUUUACCUCCAUUUAACCACAGCACCAAAGGUUUGGUUGAAGAAUUUUGGGGAGGCUCUACAAAAUAGUAGAACAAUGCUCUCCCAGCACUAGGAUCAACAGUAACAUAUCCCCCGGCCCAUACUGAUUAAAAUUAACACCUUCAGCAGGUUGUCCAGGCAAUGCAUCAAUCUUAUCGGCUUCCAUCGACCCCUGUUGGGAUCCAACGUAUACCGAAGAAAAAGUGUUGCCUGCAACGGCAUCAAAGCCCCAACGAUUUAGCAUGAUCAACUCCAUAUUUGCGUGACUUAAUCAACUUUUUGAGGUUGCCAAUUUGAUCGGCAUGGCAGGAUGCAAUUCGAAAGGCCAAUUGGUAGCUGGUGAGUAACAGCAAGAAGGUGAGCAGUGAAAACUUCAUCUUCAUUUCUUAUUGCUAAUGUACUUCAAUUUGUUGGAUGGAGUAUCAGUUUCGCUUAGAUCUAGUAUUUAUAGACCUAAAGCAAAGUAAUUUGAAGUUUGAAAUGGACCUAACUGUGACGAGAAUAAUAAGGCAUUGCCGAGUUAGCUUGUAAUCAAGGGCCAGUGAAAACAGCAUAUGUACAAUUAGUACAGCAUUCCUAUCACAAGAUUGAGAUUUUUGAUUCUUUGGAUUGGUUAUAUACUUGUAUGCAGACACCAGCUAGCCAGCAGAAGAAUUAAUUAAUUAAGGGGAAUUUUCAUAUACACCUAAUUUUAAAUAGUGGUUUUAAAUAAAACCCACCUAAUAUUCAUAUCUGAUAGAUAUCUAAAAUGUAUCAAUUAUAAUAAAUAUUAUGUCCUACUUUUUCUAAAUUUUACACAAUUGCCACCAUUUAACUAUAACAUAUUAAUAUAAUAAAUAAGCUUAGUUGAUGUUGUCUUAAAUACCUUGAUUAUGAGUUUUUCUUCUAACACUAACAUUUUUCAAUCAAUUUGCAAGAAUCAUGUAGUUUUCUUUAGGAGAAAUUACUGGUCACUUCAUUAACUUUCAUGCGCUCGACAGUUUACUCUAUUAACUUUCAAUUUCAAUCGAUUACUCCAUUAACUAUCCAAUGUCACACAAUUAGGUCCAUCCGUUAAGUGGCCGUCCAAAUCAGUGGUUAAGUUGCUGACUGGACAUAUUUUUCAACUGGAAAUUUCAUUUAACACCCCACCUCUCUCUCUCUCUCUGGCCAGCCAUGGCUUCCCAAACAGUGUGUAAGCUGUUGUUUUUGGCUUCACUUUCCACUCACUCAAAUCCAACAAAAGUUUAUGAACCAAAGCCUAUUGUAAAGAUAGGAUUACAAGCUUUAAGUACAUAGCUUAAGUUUUGAAAACAAAGCCCUGGAUAGGAAGUAUGCUCUCAAAGUUGAAACAAAAAUCUGAAAACCUAAAAAAAUUCAGCUUUUGGCUGAAUCUGCUACUGUUUUUGGCAAGCAAUUUGACAAACCAAAUGUUAACCAAAUCCUCUGAAAUUUAAGACACAUAAAGAUGGAUAUAUGAGCUUUACAAAAGUACUUUCGAAUUUAAAAAAAAAGGCCUGAGCUGAAAGAUAUCAAGACGCAAAGUAGGAAAGAAAAUCAGCUUUUCUGCAGAAUUCUGGAAAUUUGCAGCAACUAAUAAACUUGAUUUUGAAAGCUUUAAUUCGACUUUUGAAGUAACAAAACAAGUUCUAAAGCUUCAAAACGUUAAGGAACAGAUUUCCAGAGUACGAAAUCAUUUUAAAUACAACAGACAGUUGAAUCAAAAGGAUCCAAAAUCUACUUUGGACACCCAAACUCAAGAACAUAGUUCUUGAGCUACAACCACAAUGAUUCUAAUUGAAACCAAACAACGAAUAGAGCCACCAGAGGGCGUUGGUGCGGUUGGCGGCGAGAACAAUGAAAUUUCCAGUUGAAAAAUAUGUCCAGUCAGCAACUUAACCACUGAUUUGGACGGCCACUUAACGGAUGGACCUAAUUGUGUGACAUUGGAUAGUUAAUGGAGUAAUCGAUUGAAAUUGAAAGUUAAUGGAGUAAACUGUCGAGCGCAUGAAAGUUAAUAGAGUGACCAGUAAUUAAUUCUUUUCUUUAUUUUUAUGAAAAAAUCUAGAUUAAAGGAAUUCAUUUUCUAAUCUAUACAUAAGGUAAAAUAUAAUAUGAAUAAGAUAUCUAAUCUAAACCCUAGCCCCUAAACCCUAUACCCUAAACCCUAUAUCCUAUACCCUAAACCCUAAACCUUAUACCCUGAACAUAUACCCUAACUCUAUACCCUAUACCCUAAACCCUAUACCUUAACCCUAUGCCCUAAACCCAAUUUUGGGCUUUUUCUUUUUAGGUAUAUUAUCAUAUCAUGCCCUACUUAAUAGGUACAUUAGAAACGUAAGUAGUAGAGAGUAAAAUGUUCUCUUAAUUAGGAUGGGAAAUGAUAUAAUAAUAUACCUAAAAAGAAGAAAAUUAAUCAAAGAACAAGAACAUGUACUUUACAAUUAGACAUUUUUCGAUUAUGUAGAGAGACACCAAAUAUGAGCUUAGGAAUGAAAAGUAUCAUCUUAUUACAAAUGACAUACUUUUGUAUAUAUAUAUACACUCAAGUUAGUAAUAACAAGAUAAAAAAUUAAAGAAUGUAAUUGAUUAUGUCAAAGUUAAAUCCAACUAAAUUUUAGCUAGUAUUUGAGUUUUAAAUUGAUGUUAAAAUUGAAAAAUAUACCAAAUUUAGCUUUUUAUUGUCUGAAGGGCAAAUUAGAGAAACCGAAAAAUGAAUAAAACUAUUAAUUAUAGACAUUUGCUCUAUAUGAUAUGUUUGCUAUGUGGAGUGGGUGUAAAAUAAAAGAAAAAUAUGUAUGGAUUUAUCUUAAAAGAUGUCUAGUAUUUUGAGUUUUUAUCUAAUUUUCUCAUUAAUUAAUUAAGGGCAACAUGACUGGACUAGAGUGAUUUGUUUUCGCAUAUUCCGUACUAUAUUUUUGUAUAAAUACAUACUACAUAAUUUAACCAUAGUGUGAAGUUCUCGAGAAAAUAUGAAGUACGAUUAGUAAUCAUAGAGAUGAUCGAUGCAGCUGAAUGCCAAUACCAAACAACUUUGGACCCAGAAAGGAGUGGCCGACCCAAACAUUGUUGCCCAGUUAGCUUGCUCUGCAUCGAAAGUCUGAAGUUUAACCAGGGCCGGACCUUGUUUUGGACUUGAGAGAAUGAUGCAAUCAUGCAAUUCAUUCUACACCUUGUUCUUGUUUGGACAAUGAUAAGGACGAAUUGGUGAUAAGAAACCAAUUGAUGUGAACCGACGAGAGUUAAAUAUCAAGAGAGAAAUUUUGGCAUCCAGUAGAAGCAAGGCAAGAAUCAUUUCCCGGUUGGAGUUAACUGAUAAAACUGCUGGUCAAUGACCUAGCCUAUCAAUCUUUCUCAUUGUUUUACAUGCAGCUUUGUCUCAUUACCCGUUUCCAUUACUCUCUCUCUCUCUCUCUCUCUGAACUUUUGGAUCCUAGCUUCCCGAUCUGUAAUCCACCACCAUCACCUGUAGUAUAGAGGAACGUUCAGUAUAGAGCAUGCCAAAGUCCAAACAUGCAGUACGUGAAUGCAAAAACAAGGAGUGCCAAAAUGGUGGGUGAGGAUAGCAAGCUGGCAAAUCUUUUGUCCUGCGAGAGAUUUAGAUCUAUAAACAGUACCGGACAUGUCAUGGUGAUAUGUUAUCCUCAGUAGUGAAUCUCUCUCACUUUAUUUAAGUGUCCUACGAGUUUCCUUUUGGUACACAGAAAUAAAAAGCACAAGCUAGCGCUAGCUGCUGUUAAAUCCGGAAGCUUUGCAACUCAAUAAUGGAGAUUUGUUGGUGUCAUUUCGGAUCCCCUCUCAGCUACAGACACUGGACCCUUACAGGAACGGGUACGACAGCCAAACAGCAAUUGACCUUAGACGAGAAACAAAGCUAGGAUCGAUGGAGAUCGAUGUACGUAGUCGAUCCCAGUCCCAGGCCCCAAAGUAUUACCUAGCUAGCUUUGCUGUGGUGGACCAAAAAGAGAGAGAGAGAGAGAGAGAGAGAGCGAGAGAGAGACUUUUGAGCAUGUACAUAGCAGCUUCUGUUUCUCUCUUUUAUCACAACGACUGCAACAAAGAACAGCUUUAAACAUUUCUAGUUCUUCUUUUGGCCAGAACUGCACGAUAUAUAUUAUUAAUAAGAAUUAAGGACAUGCACCUGAAACCCAUGCAUAGAGUAGACUCAUCGAUUAUCUUCAAAUUAAGACGGUAGGAGAGUUGUAGGACCCUAAGUUACAUAUACACUGAAGCCUAGCCACACCACCUUAAUUUGGACCAACAUUCCAUGACUAACUCUAAAUCCAUGGCUCCAUAUAUGCCAUGUAUAUAUAUUCACUGCAUUUCCUCAACUAUAUAUCAUUUCCUGAAUAUUAAUGGUAUGCUAGCGAUCUUCACUUAAUUAAGUUCCCUUUCCACUAGCUUUUUGAACAAUGAUUUACAGAUAAAAGUACUUAAUUUAGGGUUACAAAGAUCGAUUA
rnacentral:lncRNA from 1 species